rnacentral:rRNA from 1 species
CUUGGUCAUUUAGAGGAAGUAAAAGUCGUAACAAGGUUUCCGUAGGUGAACCUGCGGAAGGAUCAUUAAUGAAUUUUUGAAAUGGGGUUGUAGCUGGCUUUUAAUCGAGCAUGGUGCACGCCCUAUUCAUCCAUUUCUAUAUACACCUGUGCACCUUUUGUAGGUCGGUCGUUACGGGAAAAGCCUUUCGGUUUUUUCUUACACUUCCUUCCUAUGUUUUUAUUAUAAACUCUGUGAAUGUCUAUGAAUGUCUUUGCGUAAAUAAACGCAUCAUAAUAUAACUUUCAGCAACGGAUCUCUUGGCUCUCGCAUCGAUGAAGAACGCAGCGAAAUGCGAUAAGUAAUGUGAAUUGCAGAAUUCAGUGAAUCAUCGAAUCUUUGAACGCACCUUGCGCUCCUUGGUAUUCCGAGGAGCAUGCCUGUUUGAGUGUCAUGGAAUUAUCAAACCCCUUUUACUUUAUUGUAAAAGUGGGCUUGGAUUUGGAGGUUUAUUGCUGGCUGCAUUAAAUUGUUGGUCAGCUCCUCUUGAAUGCAUUAGCUUUGAGCCUUUAACGGGUCGGCUUAUCGGUGUGAUAAAUUUUAUGCCGUGGUCGGUUUCGUGAAUAAAAAUCAAGCUUCUAAUCGUCCCUUCUUAAUGGGACAAUACAUUUGACCUCUGACCUCAAAUCAGGUAGGACUACCCGCUGAACUUAAGCAUAUCAAUAAGCGGAGGAAAAGAAACUAACAAGGAUUCCCCUAGUAACUGCGAGUGAAGCGGGAAAAGCUCAAAUUUAAAAUCUGGCAGUCUUUGAUGUCCGACUGGUGAGUCGUGAUAAAGUGGCUUUCCCGUGCCUGGAACCGUGACAAGUCUCCUAKUAACAAGGGAUUCCCCUACGUAACUGSGAGUGAAGGCGUGGAAAAGCUCMAACUGUCAAAAAUCUGGGCAGCCUUUUGGAUUGUYCCGACUGGUAAGUCGUGGSAAAAGUGGCUUUCCCGUSCCUGGAACCGUGACAAUCCUCCUA